GAUGAACGCUGGCGGCGUGCUUAACACAUGCAAGUCGAACGGAAAGGCCCAAGCUUGCUUGGGUACUCGAGUGGCAAACGGGUGAGUAACACGUGGGUGAUCUGCCCUGCACUUCGGGAUAAGCCUGGGAAACUGGGUCUAAUACCGGAUAGGACCACUUCUUGGAUGUUGUGGUGGAAAGUUUUUUCGGUGUGGGAUGAGCUCGCGGCCUAUCAGCUUGUUGGUGGGGUAAUGGCCUACCAAGGCGUCGACGGGUAGCCGGCCUGAGAGGGUGUACGGCCACAUUGGGACUGAGAUACGGCCCAGACUCCUACGGGAGGCAGCAGUGGGGAAUAUUGCACAAUGGGCGCAAGCCUGAUGCAGCGACGCCGCGUGGGGGAUGACGGCCUUCGGGUUGUAAACUCCUUUCGCUAGGGACGAAGCGUUUUUGUGACGGUACCUGGAGAAGAAGCACCGGCUAACUACGUG
rnacentral:rRNA from 1 species